rnacentral:rRNA from 1 species
GAUGAACGCUGGCGGCGUGCUUAACACAUGCAAGUCGAACGGAAAGGCUCCUGCUUGCAGGGGUACUCGAGUGGCGAACGGGUGAGUAACACGUGGGUGAACUGCCCUGCACUUCGGGAUAAGCCUGGGAAACUGGGUCUAAUACCGGAUAGGACCACAUUUUGGAUGGUGUGGUGGAAAGUUUUUCGGUGUGGGAUGAGCUCGCGGCCUAUCAGCUUGUUGGUGGGGUAAUGGCCUACCAAGGCGUCGACGGGUAGCCGGCCUGAGAGGGUGUACGGCCACAUUGGGACUGAGAUACGGCCCAGACUCCUACGGGAGGCAGCAGUGGGGAAUAUUGCACAAUGGGCGCAAGCCUGAUGCAGCGACGCCGCGUGGGGGAUGACGGCCUUCGGGUUGUAAACUCCUUUCGCUAGGGACGAAGCGCAAGUGACGGUACCUGGAGAAGAAGCACCGGCUAACUACGUG